CUAUAUCGUGGCUUUACAUGAAUGAUACAAAAAAAACUUUUGAGUGCUUAACUACCAAGAAAUUAUAUAAAGCUCCUUUCUUAAAGAGAUUCAACAUGCAAAACCCAAUAUAAAUACACCUUUGGCGUUUCACCAAAUGUCCACACACAUACACUUUUACACAUAUGGAGCAACAUUAUUGUCUUCUAUUUGCCUCAUGGAUCAGAUUCAGAUCAAACCAAAUGGCUUUUCC
rnacentral:lncRNA from 1 species